rnacentral:rRNA from 1 species
GACGAACGCUGGCGGCGUGCCCAAUACAUGCAAGUAGAACGCUGAAGGAGGAGCUUGCUUCUCUGGAUGAGUUGCGAACGGGUGAGUAACGCGUAGGUAACCUGCCUGGUAGCGGGGGAUAACUAUUGGAAACGAUAGCUAAUACCGCAUAAUAUUGACUAUUGCAUGAUAGUCAGUUGAAAGGUGCAACUGCACCACUACCAGAUGGACCUGCGUUGUAUUAGCUAGUUGGUGGGGUAACGGCUCACCAAGGCGACGAUACAUAGCCGACCUGAGAGGGUGAUCGGCCACACUGGGACUGAGACACGGCCCAGACUCCUACGGGAGGCAGCAGUAGGGGAUCUUCGGCAAUGGACGGAAGUCUGACCGAGCAACGCCGCGUGAGUGAAGAAGGUUUUCGGAUCGUAAAGCUCUGUUGUAAGAGAAGAACGAGUGUGAGAGUGGAAAGCUCACACUGUGACGGUAUCUUACCAGAAAGGGACGGCUAACUACGUG